UUGAUGCUUUCUUCAUCUUCAUGUAAAUGCUAUUUGUUUCAUGUUUCCAGAUUUGAAGAGAUCGAUUUGUUUGCUGUUUAAUAAUGAUUUACGAUGUGUUUUGUCAUAUCUAGGGUUUGCUUGUGGUCUUUCGUAUCCGUCAAAACCCUAAUCGACCGGAGAAAUCGUCAAAAGUUCUUCACAAUAUGAUCGUUCCACAUAAUUUGCAGGUGAAGAGCUUCUUUCAGACUCCUUCCCCUACAAGGAACUAUUGAAUGGGUUCCUAUGAGAAGUUGAAGAAAACGUAU